rnacentral:misc_RNA from 1 species
UGUGGGAGCGGGCUUGUUGUGAUGAAGGAGCUUGCUGUGGCGAGCAAGCUCCCCAGCCACAACAAGCCCGCUCCCACA